ACGGUUACCCUGACCGGGUUCUGAAACAGCCCGGGGCUUUCAGCACAGAUGAGAAGUCUAAAAAUUUCCCUUUUCAUUUCCUCUCUUGUGUGACUUUGUCAUUUUUAAAAAAACUGGUCACAGAAAAGGGAAUUUUGCCCAUGCUUUUAAGGAGUUUAUCUCGACUGAGUAGCUUCCCCGCCACUCCUCUAAAAUCCCUCCUCAAAAACCCCAAGUUAAAAAAAAAAAGAUCUAUUCUUGUAGAUUUUUUUGUGUGGGUCUAUGUUUCAUUCAUCUGCUUUUAGGCUGGAUUUAUAACAAGCAGAUCUUUUAAAAUGGUAUGAUUUUAAAAUAAAAUUUAAAAAAACCACACUGAGAUCUUUCCAUAGCUUUGGCUUCUGGGAGUUGAAAGCGCAGGAGGAAAAUAGAGCAAAAAGGUAGAACUUACUUCCACACCCAAGUUUCUCCUGAAAGCACUGUGCCUGUUUUGUUUGCUACACAUCUUAGCUUCAGGAAAAAGAGGACCUUAGAACUGAAGGAGCAAGGAUCCAGCAUCACACUGUUUUUGUUAGCUGUGUGUGUGUGUUUCCUGUGUAUCCAAAAGACAGAGGAGAUGAAAAAGCAAAAGAGAAGAAACGAGGAAUCAGAUUGGAAAGAGAAGAUUUCUCCAGGACAUCACCUGUAUGAGGUACACAGUGUGAUGACACAUUCUAUGCUUUUCCUACUUGUCUCCACGUGAGUGUCUGGAGCUGCCCUUCAAGGAAAGCAAUAGAUGAAUGAUUCUGCCUUCCUGCUGAGAGGGAUGUGGGUCCUGCGGAUGGUCGGGGUGAAGCUUCCUCUCCUUUCUGCUGACAGCACUUCCUCAUUAAAUGCAGAGAUCUGCAAAAAGGGAAAAUAAAAACACAAGAAGAAAAA